rnacentral:rRNA from 1 species
CCUACGGGUGGCAGCAGUCGAGAAUCAUUCACAAUGGGGGAAACCCUGAUGGUGCGACGCCGCGUGGGGGAAUGAAGGUCUUCGGAUGGUAAACCCCUGUCACGUGGGCGCAAAUUAAAAAGAUAGUACCACAAGAGGAAGAGACGGCUAACUCUGUGCCAGCAGCCGCGGUAAUACAGAGGUAGCAAGCGUUGUCCGGAAUCACGGGGUGUAAAGCGUGCGUAGGCUGCUUCGUAAGGCGUGUGUGAAAGGCGCGGGCUCAACCCGAGGACGGCACAUGGUAUUGCGAGACUAGAGUAGGGGAGGGGGAAGCGGAAUUCUUGGUGUAGCAGUGAAAUGCGUAGAUA